rnacentral:lncRNA from 1 species
UUAUAAACACAAUAAAACCACAGUAAAUCCUUCUUUACAACGUGCAUCAACUAAUGACAAUAAUAAAUUGAGGCGUGGUCUCCUUAGCAUCUUUAGCAGGGAGAGACUAGCAGUAGUUUUAUUCAGGUAGUUGUGUGUGGUAUUUUCAUCCCAUGUAACUGAGAAAACAUGAGGAAAGUCAGAUUCUCUUACCAGUUUUAGUGGGGUAGGAAGUCUUGAGUGUUUUUAAGCCAGUACUGAAAAUUUCCUUCCCCAUUUUUCCCCCUCCCAAGCUUUUCAUCAGAAAUGGUUAUGGGUAGCAUUUUAUGGGUUCUAUUUAUUUGAAAUUUGGAUUCUCUUUACGUUUUCUGAAGACUAGGCAACUUAAUGUGUGUAUUAAAAUGAGGGAAACAUUUAUAUCCCUAGUAAGCAAUUUACAGUAAUUUUCAAACACAGGCAUUAGUAAAUCAAAGAAGUCUUAAUUCAGAACCUAAACGCUGUAUCGUUAACUCUUGGAUGAUAUUUUGGAACUAGUCUGGGGAGAAAUUCCAGGGACAUAGAAAAUGCUUUUUCCAGGGUGUCUUGUUAAAAGCUUCCUGAAGCUGUAACCUGUACAU